GUAUGGGGCUUCUGGGUUCAGAUCUGGGUUUUGGGGUUUAGACAGGGGGUUCAGAUAUGGGGUUUUGGGGUUCAGACGGGGUUUGGGGGUUCGGAUCUGGGUUUGGGGGUUCAGAUAUGGGGCUUGGGGUUCAGAUAUGGGUUUUGGGGGCUCAGAUCUGGGUUUUGGGGUUCAGAUAUGGGGUUUUGGGGUUCAGAUAUGGGGUUUCUGGGAUCAGAUCUGGGUUUUGGGGUUCAGAUAUGGGGUUUCUGGGAUCGGAUAUCGGUUUUGGGGUUCAGAUAUGGGGUUUGGGGGCUCAGAUAUGGGGUUUCUGGGAUCAGAUCUGGGUUUUGGGGUUCAGAUAUGGGGUUUCUGGGAUCAGAUCUGUGUUUUGGGGUUCAGAUAUGGGGUCUCUGGGAUCGGAUAUCGGUUUUGGGGUUCAGAUAUGGGGUCUCUGGGAUCGGAUAUCGGUUUUGGGGUUCAGAUAUGGGGUCUUGGGGUUCAGGUAUGGGUUUUGGGGUUCAGAUACGGGGCUCUAGGUUCAGAUCUGGGGUUUGGGGUUCAGAUAUGGGGUUUGGGGGCUCAGAUAUGGGGUUUCUGGGAUCAGAUCUGGGUUUUGGGGUUCAGACAUGGGGUCUUGGGGUUCAGGUAUGGGUUUUGGGGUUCAGAUACGGGGCUCUAGGUUCAGACCUGGGGUUUGGGGUUCAGAUAUGGGGUUUGGGGGCUCAGAUAUGGGGUCUCUGGGAUCAGAUAUCGGUUUUGGGGUUCAGAUAUGGGGUCUUGGGGUUCAGGUAUGGGUUUUGGG
ensembl:lncRNA